rnacentral:rRNA from 1 species
UGAGGAAUAUUGGUCAAUGGGCGCGAGCCUGAACCAGCCAAGUCGCGUGAGGGAAGACGGUCCUAUGGAUUGUAAACCUCUUUUUGUCGGGGAGCAAGAAAGGGUAUGCAUACCCUACUGAGAGUACCCGAAGAAAAAGCAUCGGCUAACUCCGUGCC